rnacentral:rRNA from 1 species
UACGGAGGGGGCGAGCGUUGUUCGGAUUUACUGGGCGUAAAGCGUGCGUAGGUGGCUUCCCAAGUAAGAUGUGAAAGCCCAGGGCUUAACCCUGGAAUUGCUUUUUAAACUGGGUCGCUAGAAUUUAGGAGAGGCAGAUGGAAUUCCGAGUGUAGAGGUGAAAUUCGUAGAUAUUCGGAGGAACACCAAUGGCGUAAGCAGUCUGCUGGACUAACAUUGACACUGAGGCACGAAAGCGUGGGGAGCAAACAGG